GAGUGCCGUGCUGAGUAACCCAGGCAAGAAUGGGAUAGAGAGACAGCCUAUGUAAGGUCGCACUGUAAUCACCACCUGAGCAAUGCACGGACAGGACCUCAGGAGGCUGGUGUGGGACCAAAAAGAAGCUAUGAAGAAGCCAGGAUGGACUUGGGCAGAAACUCCAGUAGAGGAAACCACAACCCACAAUCCGAGCCCCCUGCUGGCCUCAGGUCUGACCCCACCUGCCCACCUGCCCGCCUGGACGUUUGCCUACAAGAGGAAGUGCUCCGUCCACUGACCUGGAACCGGCUCAGCCUACCCUGAGUGGAGAGAGGCACAGCAGGAGAGCGGUUUGCAUACCACAGUGAAAACUCUGAUUAGCCACCCAUACUGACCUGGACUCACGAAUAAAUAUGAACAAUAGCAGCAGACCAGCCAUGGACCACUGGACAUGAGGUAA